UUAAACAUGCUAACAACCUUUCCAAUUAAAAAAAAACACAUCACCACCGAAUAUCCUCCUACCCUACCUACCCACGUAACCCCUAUCCACUUUUAUUUUACACGCUAUUUCUAUAUAUAGAGGAGGACAGAAAUAGAAAAAGAGGUCAUCUUCUUCACCAAAAAAUUCACCUCACGCCAUAUACACCACCCUCGAAGAAAUUACAUCACAACGACACACAAUUAACGCACAUAACAGUAACACAGAUCUGAGAUUCUCCAUUUCUUUCAUUCUAAUAAUCCUUCAUUUUCAUCCAUACCCAUCGACGCACAUAUACACACAGCUAAAGGGAAGGACACAGUGAGGGACCAAGAGAGAUAGGAAAAAUGAGAGAAUUAGUAGAAAAAUGGGAGGGAGCUGAUCGAAAUUGAGAAAAACAGACGAGGGAGAGAGUGAACGCAAACAUCGAAGAAAGAAAACUAAUCGAAAAACGUGACGCUGGCUGGAAAAAUCACACCCUCACUCUCGUCCUCCAUUGUUCUAGCCGAAAUAAUGGGACCAGUGAGAAACACCCCAAAAUUCGAUCAAAAUCCAACCUAACCCGAGUCUCUCUGCCAUCGCUUGAGCUCAUCGGAGCUCCUGUGAAUCGGGAACGGUGAACCCUACUUCGAUUCUUGUGAAUUCUGCUGGAAAAGAGUGAAACAGGGUCGAGUUGCACAAAAUCGGGUUCGGGUUUGUCUAUUUUUGGCGAUUUCUGUUUUGGGUCAAUAGAAAAUUAAAAAAAAAUGCAUACCGGAGCUGGGGUUCGAAUAGAGGCUCCGAAUCGAGGUUCUUCAUCGCCGAUUCUGUCCUUUUAUUGAAGUAUUAUUGAAUUUCAAGAUCUUCGAAUCGAGGAAACAUGCUACCUUUAAAUCAAGGAAUUCAGAGCAUAAAUAUCGAGGGUUGCAAUGCCUCAUUCCUACAAAUGCAGGAAACAAUAUUGAUGUACAGGUUUGAUAAUCAAAUCAUAGUAAAAUUCAUCAUCAUAUAUUUUUCAGAGACACACUUUCUUGUCUAGGGAUUUCAGUUUUCAUUUGUUAGGGGAUACACUUCUUAAAUUGAACCUUGAUUCCUAUAAGACGUACCUUUUAGUCUAGUUAUUUUAAUUAAUUCCUAUAAGACGUACCUUUUAGUCGAGUCAUUCCCCUUGAUUCCUAUAAGACGUACCUUUUAGUCGAGUCAUUCCUUUUGAUUCCUAUAAGACGUAACUUUUAGUCUAGUCAUCCCCCUUGAUUCCUAAGACUUACCUUUUAGUCGAGUCAUCCCCUGUGAUUUCUAUAAGACGUACCUUUUAGUCAAGUCAUUCUCCUUGAUCCCUAGAAGAUGUACCUUUUAGUUGAGUCGUUCCUUUGAUUCCUAUAAGGCUUACCUUUUAGUCGAGUCAUUCCCCUUGACCCCUAGAAGACGUACCUUUUAGUCGAGUCAUUCCUUUGAUUCCUAUAAGAUGUACCUUUUAGUCGAGUCAUUCCCGUGGACCUCUAGAAGACGUACCUUUUAGUCGAGUCGUUCCUUUGAUUCCUAUAAGACGUACCUUUUAGUCGAGUCAUUCCCCUUGACCCCUAGAAGACGUAUCUUUUAGUCAAGUCGUUUCUUUAAUUCCUAUAUAACGUACCUUUUAUUCGAGUCAUUCCCCUUGACCCUUAGAAGACGUACCUUUUAGUCGAGUCAUUUCCUUUGAUUCCUAUAAGAUGUACCUUUUAGUCGAGUCAUUCCCCUUGACCCCUAGAAGAUGUACCUUUUAGUCGAGUCGUUCCUUUGAUUCCUAUAAGACGUACUUUUUAGUCGAGUCAUUCCCCUUGACCCCUAGAAGACGUACCUUUUAGUCGAGUCAUUCCCUAUGAUUCCUAUAAGAUGUACCUUUUAGUCGAUUCAUUUCCCUUGAUUCCUAUAAGACGUACCUUUUAGUCGAGUCAUUCCCCUUGAUUCCUAUAAGACGUACCUUUUAGUUGAGUUAUUUCCUUUGAUUCCUAUAAGACGUACCUUUUAGUUGAAUCAUUCCCCUUGACCCCUAGAAGACGUCCCUUUUAGUCGAGUCAUUCUCCUUGACCCCUAGAAGACGUACCUUUUAGUCGAGUCGUUCCUUUGAUUCCUAUAAGACGUACCUUUUAGUCAAGUCAUUCCCCUUGAACCCUAGAAGACGUACCUUUUAGUCGAGUCAUUCCUUUGAUUCCUAUAAAACGUACCUUUUAGUCGAGUCAUUUCCUUUGAUUCCUAUAAGACGUACCUUUUAGUCGAGUCAUCUCCUUUGAUUCCUAUAAGACAUACCUUUUAGUCGAAUCAUUCCAAUUAACUUAUAGAAGAUGUAUUUCUUUGUAUGGGAUAAUUUUUUUCUUAGUUUUGAUGUGAUUUUAGGAGCCCGCUUGAAGAACAGGGCUAAUACAUGGAAAGUCAACCAACAAGGUGAAGCAAUUGAAAAGCAAGCAACAAGAGGAAGAAAAUUGAAAGUCAACAGUUGAAAAAUGGCAAGUCAGAAACCCGCCUAAAGAACAGGGUGAAGAAAUUGAAAGGCAAGCAACAAGUUGAAGAAAUUACAAGUCAGGAGCCCACCUGAAGAACAGGGUGAUGAAGUAAUGAGUCAGGAGUCAAGGAAACCUGCAUAGAUAGAGUUUUUGUAAUUUCAUUUAUUUUUUAACUUGUAAUGUUCAUUUCUGAUGUAAUAACAGAUCCGCGGAUCGGAACCUUGACGGGACCUCACUCGACUCUCCAACUCGGUUGUCCUUCUUCCUU